CCCAGCGGUAGUCAGCUGCGCAGGCCUUCCCGUGCCUGACUCGGUGUUACUCUGCUGGAAGAGGAAGGCGCUGCCGUUCCGGCCUGGCUCGGUAGCCGCUGUUUUAGUAGUUGCUGAUGCUAAGCUAAGGCAGCGUUUUACCCCUCAGAGAGUGGGCUGUGUCCACGCUUUCUGGAGCAGCCCUAGUGUGGGGGGCGAACAAC